UCAUCUCCGGGGGUAGAGCACUGUUUCGGCUAGGGGGCCAUCCCGGCUUACCAACCCGAUGCAAACUGCGAAUACCGGAGAAUGUUAUCACGGGAGACACACGGCGGGUGCUAACGUCCGUCGUGAAGAGGGAAACAACCCAGACCGCCAGCUAAGGUCCCAAAGUCAUGGUUAAGUGGGAAACGAUGUGGGAAGGCCCAGACAGCCAGGAUGUUGGCUUAGAAGCAGCCAUCAUUUAAAGAAAGCGUAAUAGCUCACUGGUCGAGUCGGCCUGCGCGGAAGAUGUAACGGGGCUAAACCAUGCACCGAAGCUGCGGCAGCGACGCUGAUGCGUUGUUGGGUAGGGGAGCGUUCUGUAAGCCUGCGAAGGUGGCCUGUGAGGGUUGCUGGAGGUAUCAGAAGUGCGAAUGCUGACAUAAGUAACGAUAAAGCGGGUGAAAAGCCCGCUCGCCGGAAGACCAAGGGUUCCUGUCCAACGUUAAUCGGGGCAGGGUGAGUCGACCCCUAAGGCGAGGCCGAAAGGCGUAGUCGAUGGGAAACGGGUUAAUAUUCCCGUACUUGGUGUUACUGCGAAGGGGGGACGGAGAAGGCUAUGUUGGCCGGGCGACGGUUGUCCCGGUUUAAGCGUGUAGG
rnacentral:rRNA from 1 species